rnacentral:tRNA from 1 species
GUCCCGUUCGUCUAGCCGGCCCAGGACACCGCCCUUUCACGGCGGCGACACGGGUUCAAAUCCCGUACGGGACGCCA